CUGAAGAAUAAUGUAUUUCUAUUUUUUUUCUUUUUUUUUUACCUUUUAAAAAAUUAAGAUUAAGUAUUUGGAAUGAUAUGAUUUUAGGAGUUUUGCCUCACAUUGCACAGUGACAGUUAGCUGUAAUACUCAGUCGAGUAGUACCUCUCCAGACCCUCUCAACAACUUAACUCUUAAUACUUACAAUCCCAAUUUUAAUAAACUCCCACCAUUGUGUUAUGCUCUUUCCUGAAUACAGUAGUGAUGGUAAGGAGAUGUUGAUGUCUAUCUAAUGGAGGUUUAUUAGACGAGUACCAUGAGUUUAUUUUUUACUUUUUUUUUUAUUGUUU